rnacentral:lncRNA from 1 species
UUUGAUAUAUGAUAGAAGCAACUGUUAUGGUCCAAAAUCUUCCGGCGAAUGCAUCUGCGACGAACGCCCCGAUUAGCGGCGUUAAGGCUGCAGUGCCACCAAAAUUGGUGAUAGUGUUGGCUGCUUUAGUGAGUGGCAGGUGUAGUUGAGUUGUUAAGUAGCUGAGCAUGUUUGUACCAAAACCAACCACAGCCAAUUUCUCACAUAUUUCAUUUGCUGCAAUCCAAACAACAUUAAUAUUAAUCACAUCCUAAUUCAUAAACAAAUCAAAACAGACUUUGAUUUCCAAAUUCCAAUCUAAAGUAAUGUAAUGUUUGAAAAAUGAAGCUUACCAAAGAUGAAUGGCAUAGUGAUGAUACCACCCUUUUUCCUCUCUGCAUGCUGACUUCUCUCCUCCAUUAUUGUCCUCCUUCUUUCUUAAUUUUUGCUGUAAUAUCCCCCUCAAUAUUCCAAAAUAUUUAUAGGCAGCGAGUGAUAGUGAUUUUCGUCAAUUACCACAAGAAAUGAUUUUUUACAGUGACAUUAUUUCAUCUAAAAUUUUAAGAGAUGAAUUUAUAUGUCAGUCAUACUAUAUGUACAAUGACAACCAUUAGUAGGCAAGAAUCUACACCAUUCAUCUUAAAAAUUGUUUUUCAUCUUGAUAAUACAUGAAUUGUCAACAAAGAUUGUACAAAUAGCUUUAUUUUUUUUUUUUAUAUGUUUCGAUUUUUUCAACAUGCUCGUGUGCAAGCUGAAUUUCCUUUUUAUUUAACGUUUCAUACGUGCGCAAUUUUCAUAAUAUAUAGCACCUAUUUGUCUCUCUUUAAAGUAUAUAUCCAAUUCUUUAAUUUUCAUGCUCAUUUUCAUAUACAUAUUCACACAAUAAAAUAUUUUACAUGUAAAUUCGAAAACACUUAUCUUAUUUUUUAACACGUAUUCUUUUAAAAAUCACAAUUCAAAUUUCGAAACACCAUUUUUUCUAAGCAAUGACCAUCAAAUAAGGGACAUAGUUUGUGCAUGCGUGUAGUGAAUCUCUGUGUAAUCUGCACACACGAAACAGAAAUGUACGAAACGCAUUAGUAACGUAUGGUUCAUAGGAGAGGAGAAUCGUGUGAGGAUUCUAUAUGACAAACCAUGUCAAGACAGAUGUAAAUUUCUGUCACUAAGGUUAUCUGUCCCCAUUUCGCUGUUAAGAGGGAAAGUUAAGCCACUUUUUGCAAAAUACUAUCGUCCGGGGAUGUGCACCUGUCUGUCUAGCAUAAUUCUGAAAGAUGUAGAUAAUCACAUUGGAUGUAUGUUCGAAAAGAGUUUAUAAACAAUUUAAAUUAUAAAUAAAUAAAAAUAAGUGAUAAAUAGUGUGUAAUAUUUGAAAUUUCUCGAAAUAUAUUAAUAAAAAGUAGUUUGAAGUGUUUAUGAACAAUUUAUAAAUAUGAGCAAAAUAUUACAGAUAAACAUGAACCAAACGUUUUGAUAAAAAAAAAAUGACUUAAAUAUUUGGUACAAAAUUGAAUAGGAUAAAUAAUGAGAUUUUUAACUUAUUUUUCGUCUUUACCAGAAUGUACCAUUAUUAUAGGUUUAGCUUAUUUGAAUUUGAUAAAACCUUGAAUUUGCGUGAUUUAAAGAAAUAUGCAUUACAAAAUUAAUCUCAUGUAUGGUAUGGAUAAAAAAAUAAAAGAUUGGAUUCUUAAAAUUUGUCAAGCUCUUGUAAGGGUGGCAAUGGGUCAAAUCGAACUCGAGCCAAUGCCCACGAAUCGACUUGUUUUUCAUUAAAAAAAAAUUAAUAAAAAAAAGAAGUUAAAAUGAGCUAGUUCAUGAGCUCAAGACAAGUUAGCUCAUGAAAAAAUCGAGCUCAAUUGGGUCUAUUGCUCGUUUCAAUACGAGCACAUAAAAUCGGUGAGCCAUUUGAACUUUUGCCACCACCAAGCUCUUCUAGCCAUCUAGAGUAAUGUGAUAGCGUGCCAAAAUUAAUUUAACAUUUCUACCAAAAUUAUUCUCCUUGUACAGGGAGCACUACAGGGAGACAAGUGACAACAUUGCAUUGGUCGGGACAAAAUUGUUUUGGAUCCAAGGUCCAAUGAAUGGUUGUCACAUGUCUUCUUGUAAUGCUUCCUGUAUAAUCUCCCUCAACAUGUAAUCUGAUUGUUUCUACCAUUUUUUAAUCUUACUACUCCAACACACUCGACAAGUAUAACUAAUUUUUGUGGGAUGAGUAAAUAACUAUUAAACGUUUUAUUAUAUAGAGCACAAUUGAUCGUGAUUAAACUCACAUUUUUAAGUACUUGUUUAGGUAAUAUGAGUCUGCUUUUCAAUAAAGUAAAUAAAAAAAGCACUUUAAAACAUGCCGCCUAACAUGCUAAUAAUAUCAUCAUUGUGAAAUCAUGUCUGUUUUGUGAUCUAAAAAUGAGAUAACUCAAUGACGAAGGAGAUAAUGAUUUAGAGAAGUGGUAGGAAAAGUAUUUUGAUAGAGACUUGAUUUUGAUACUAACUUUUUGCGCACUGAAAUCUCUAUAAGAUCUUAUAUCUAUCACUACGAAAACCAAUCUUAUUUUUAUUACACAAAUUAAAAUACUAAUAAGAUAAUAAUAUUUGUGGGUCAAUUAAAAUAUCCAUCUCGAUUUCUUGAGUAUUUAGAAAAGAAAAUAACUAGUAUUUUGACACUUAUUUCACAAUUUUUUGAUCGUUAUUUCACAAUUACAGACGUCAUUUUUGACACUUUUACUCACAGAUGGGAUCAACUUUUCUCUUUAACAGUCAACACAUCAGCGCUCAUAAUUACUACCGAAUAGGCUCUAAAUACAAAGAAUAUGAGAAGGCCAACAUCAACAAAAAACAAAAAAGUAAUAUGUGAGAAACUCUCUGAACGGAUUCAUUAGUUUACUAACAAAGAAAUCAUAACUUAUUUCAACAUAUAUUCGCAAAUGAUCCACAUGAUAAGUUUUUUUUAUUAAAAGAAUCUGAACUAAUCCUGGCAGAAUCGAUUCUGCAUUCUAUAAUUGAUACGAGACGAGAAGAAGAUAAAGAAGUCCUUUUAUUUUGUCAAGUUGUUGAUGCAUAUCAAAUUUACAAAAAAUAAUUCGAGGGUAAAUAAAAUGUGUCUUUGAAAAGAUUCCCUUUAGUUGACGAUGAUUUCGUCUUUCAAAUAAUCAUUUAGUGUUUGAAAAUGCGUCAUAACAUGACUUAGUGAGUCUCUUGAUUGCCAAAGAAAAAUAGAAAUGCUACAGAAAUAGGGUUAAAAACGAAGAGGAUGUGUGUCUAAACAUGAACGGACAGUUUGAAUUUUUUUUUCAAAAAAAAAAAAAAAAAAAAAAAAAAAAAACUUUCCCUUUUUUAACCCAUUAACGGACAGUUUGAAUUUUUUUUACAAAAAAAAACAUACUUUCCGUAUUUUAACCCUGUUCAACCGUCAUUAUUCAAGAAGAAAACGAUAAAAACGAAGAUAAGGAUAGAACGAACAAUGUUAGGGAAUGGAAACGAAGUGACAAUAAUGCAAACCCAAUUUGCAGGCCUAUGAUGGAAUAUUUCAUCAUUUUGUGCGUACUGUGUUUUGUUUGUUCGUCCUCAUGAAUUCCCUCGAAAUCACUAGUUUUAAUUUGCAAACAACACCACUUGUCGAAGUUCACGUUCACGUUCACGUUCACGUUCUCAAGAGUGUUUGUGGUCACAAAUUCAUGAUGUCUGAUAAUGACAAUAUUUCGUUGUAUUUCCCCAUUGAAAUGCACUUUCUGUUUCUAGUGUGAUAAUGGGGUGGGUGGGGUUGUCGUUGGCUGAGAAUGGAUGGGAAGGUAACUGAUGUAGACUUGGUUUUUGAGUUUUGAUAGGGUAGGUCAUGGAUGACGCGUGCAGUCGUAAAGUGCCGGCCAUGUUUCACCUUAUGAUAAUGGAUAGUAUUAAAGAAAAAUAAAUUAAAAUUGUAUCAAUCGAUCUAUUCAAAUAGCUGUAUCAAAAUAAGUUGCUAUAUUAGAACGAUCUAUAUUAGUACAACCGUUCGAGCCAAAUUGUAAUCCAGAACUUGAGAGACUAGACCGGCCUAUCUAAAACUUUGGCACGUGGGUUUUGGGAGGGUUUCUGAUACAACUAUGUCUAGAAAUGUCUAGUAUUAUUUACGAAAUAUUCAAACUUAUAUCUUAAAUUUUAUGAUUAAGAUAGUGGCUAUGCAUGUUUUGUGGCGUUAUGAUUUAACAUAUUAGCCAAUUUGACAAACAAAAAUUGAAAAAAUUAAUCCAGAAAGUAUGGAAGUGUUCAAAAUUAUUAGGGGAAUUUUGGAUGAAGGUCCAUAUAGUAAUCAAGAAAACAGAACCAGCUCACAGUGACAAGUAUGCAUUUUCUGAAACAGGCCUUCACUUAUGCAACAAUGUAUUAAGGAAGACAUUUAUAUGAAUAUGGACGGCCCAUUUCCAUUUGGAUUAUAGAAUCGGUCCACUGUAUCAGGAAUUUUGAAUAGGGAAAGUAACUCAUACCCGACGUUUUCAACUUAUAAUUUCAUAAAUCAGGUACAAAUAAUAUUUUUCAAAAAUCAGAUAUAUCCAUUCCACUCCACAACCCCACCUCACCACCCUAUUCCACCUUGUAUCCCUCAUUCUCUCAGUAAAUCCAAAUUUGAAUCAAGCAUUUUUCGGCUUCUUGAUACCGUAGCCUCUCUAUCUUUCAAUAUUCACCAAUUCAUUCAAUUUUCAGAUCUAAGUAUGAAGAAAUUAUUUAAAUGUUUUUGCAUGUUGUACGAGAGCAACGUACGCUAUGGCGAAGAGUGGCGUCAAUGGGUGUGAUGAGAUCGGAGCUAGUGAUGAAGUUGAUUGUACUGGUGGUUAAAACUGGAGUGUUGAGUAAUUAACUAAUUAUUGAUUUAUUAUUGCUGUGAUAGGUUGUCGUAUUAGUGGUGAAAUUUCUACAAUGUCCAACAAGGAUAUGCUCACCUUUCCUCGCUUGUCGCUUCACUACCUUUUUUGUAGGUAUGGUCAUUGAUGAUCCAAUUCUGAUGGGAGAAGCGGUGGUUGUCGUAAGUAGUAGGGGUGGUGGUGGUGUUGGCGAUGAUGGGUUGAAGAAUGAGGUGUGGAUUUGAGGUGGCGACGACGAUUUUGAUUGCGCCGAUGAUGGUGGAGAGGGGUGGAGUGAGAUGAAUGGUGCUUGUGACUGUUAAUCGAUUAAUUUGUAACUAAUAAAUAAUUUAUGAUAUAUUAAAAUGUGUGAUUUGUGAUUAUCUAUGUAAUUGUGAUUUGCAAAUUGUGUCUUUGCAAUUGUGGUUUUGUGAUUACUUUAUGACUGCAAACAUAAAUUGAAAGUUAUUGAUCCUGAUAUGUUUAAUUAAAUUAUAAGUCACAAUAUUUAUAAGGGAUCACAACAUUUGAUCAACUAAUAUUUGCAAAAAAAAAUUCACUAGUUUCUUAUUUUUGAAACCUUCGUAAUUGUUAUAUAUUUUUCCCUUUUGAAUCCAUGAAGGUUUUGAUAUUUAUUAAUUAACAACGUCAUCAUAAAAUUUUGUUUUUGCACUGGACACUAUCUGUUGAGUUUCAUUUUUUCAAAACUCAUUUUCUAUCACAAAUUUUUCCUAAAAUAUAAUAUUUUAUGUAAAUUCAAAUUUUCUCCUUAUUUCUUCAUUACGCAUUCUUAAAAACAAAAGUCACUAUCUUAAAACAUAUGUUCUUUUAAAAUCUCAUUUUAAUGGAGCGAAACACGGGCUCAACAUCUAAUUGGGUAAUGUGGACUUGUGGAGCCGACAUAAAAAGACUAAAAAAUAAAGGACUUGGGCAGCCGACAACUAAGUCAAUUUUUAAUAUCAUCUACUACCAUAUUUGUCGCCAUUUGGGUGGGCAUCUAGAUAAAUGGGAACACGAGUCAAAAAGUUGGUGGAGGAAGGAUCAGCCUAAAGGAUAUAGGGGAUGAUCGAAUACAUACAUCUUAGGGGUCGGAUAUUAUUUAAUUCAGGUGGAAUUCGUGUACUUUGUGAGAGUCGGUCACGCCGAGUGUCCAACAUUUUUGAGCUAAGUGGCAUUUUCCUUAAGAAAGAGAGAAACGGGAUGUGAGCUUUCAUUUAUUUGUUUUUAAAUUAAUUUAGAAAAAAAAUAAAAAUAAAAAUAAAUAAAUAAAUAUAUAUAUAUAUAUGUUGAAAACAUACCAAAGUAUAAAGACUAAAGAUAAAGUGUAAAGACUAAAGAUACGAAGAAAAAAAAACUUAAUGAAAUAAUAAAAUAAACAAAAAACGUGAAGUAUGCUGUAUCCUCGUGAUAAUUCUUAUGAUACUACUAAUCUUUUGCAUAAAUAUAGACAAAAAAAUAAAUAAAUAAAUAAUAAUAAUUGAAUAUUUAUCUCAUAAAAUAAACAUUUUCAUACAUUAUCAUUUACUAUGUUAGUCAUGUAUGGUCAGGGUUCAUAAAUGCUUAAAUAUAAAUAAGCAGAAAUGAGCAUUGGACAAUCGAUAGUAUUUAUGGUUAUCGCAAAUUGGAAAUGCUUGUUAUACAUCAAAUUGAAUUAAAAUUGUCCAAGUCUCUUCUCCACUUUAAUGAUUAUACUUAUGUAAUGUGGGUUAGUGGCGAUUUUUUUUUUUUUUUUUUUUUUAGUGUAGGUGAAAUUUUGUCAAGUUAUCUUGUUAGUAAACAAAUAUGUAAAUUACAAUGUACAAGUAGCACAAUCAGUCACGAAAUUUUUGAAUUGAAAGUGAUUCGAUUAUUUAUAAAUGUAUUUAUAAACACGAACCAAAUAUAGUCUAGUAAUAAAAUCUAUGUUGGAAUAAACUUAUAUAUAGCUUAUAAUUUUCAGUUAAUACAUAGAAAUAUUAAAUUCUAAAUAGAAAAUUUUGAAAUAAAUCACCGACUAAAUCAAAACACAAUUGUCACGCUUUAGAUUUUUCAUUUUUCCCCUACAAGCGUCAUUACUAUGAUCAUGCCGAAAAGCCGGGCCGAAAGUAUAGGAAUUCUUGGAAGGUUCAUUAGGCAGUUCAAAUGUCAAAUAAAACCACCAAAAUUUCAAAGGACAUCCCAGUCAACAUGAUGACGUGUCAACAAUAUAACGUCACUCUCGAACAAGUAUAUUCCACGUUUUGCCUAAUGGUUCUAUUUCAUAUCUUUUCUAAAAUUAAGCCAAACGAUCAUAGCGGUUGACACAACGAUUAACCGCGCUCUCGCAUAAUCAAGGUGGGUUCCAUCUGAAUUUAAAAUUCCAAACCCUCCAUGUGUGUGUAUGCGAUCAUCCCUAUUGUUCGUUUAGCUCAGUCCUUUUUCUAGGUGCCAUGUUUGACUCUUUUAUUCUAUUUUAAUUUAUUUUUAACAUUUAUUUUUAAUUACACAUUCUUAAAAAAUACUAUUAAAAAUCAAAAUAUAAUUUUUUUGAAAUAAAGGUCACGAAAUACACAUUAUUCAAAAUAUAGUUUUUUGUUUUAGAAUUAAAGACCACCAAACAAGAUGACAUUUUCCCAUCCCAUAAUCACUCAUCACGUCAUGGUAUGACGUCACGAGUCACCAGACCAUUAUUAAAGCUGUUAUAAACCUUAACAUUCAAGAAACCCAUAACAUAUUUGUUUACAAAUUUUCAUACUUCACCAAUUCCCUUUUUUCUCGUGUUUUUCACAAUGGAAGUGGCGAAGAGAAAGCGGCCAAAUGACGAAGACGCUGACGGAAAGAAAUGCAAAGGGCAGGAAGAUGAUAACGGCGUUAGGCGAUUGCCGGAAGACGAUGAGGUGGAGGAGUUCUUUGCCAUACUUAGGAGAAUACACGUGGCCGUUAAGUACUUCAAGAAGCGUAAUCGCCACGGUGACUGUGAGUCGACCAUGACGGCGUGGAGUCCUUCCUUUCAACGGGAAGAUUUUGAGGAGGUCAACGUCGUCAAGAAAGAAGGAAGUAUGGAGGGAACUCGAGAUAAAAUUGCGGGUACUUUGGAUCUCAAUUCUGAGCCGGCAGGCGAGCGGUCUAAUUUAGAAUCAGUUUAAUCUAGUCAUUUAUAGAGUAAUUAACGCUAUAUAUUAUUAUAACUGACAACGAGAGUUGAAAAUCAUGAGUGAAACAUGUUCAUGAAUCAUGAUGAAAUAUAUGAUAAUUUGGUUUGAUUCAGUUCGAUUUGACAGAUAUGAUGGUUCGAAGAGGACUACUGAUUAGUCGGUCAAUUUAUCUGCAAAAAAUAGGUAGAAAUUUCUAUUCCACAAGUUUUUUAUUUUUUAUAUUAUUUUAUUUUUAUAGUCACUAUCAUUCAGAUGAGUACUUGAUAAACCCUCGUAUUAAUGUAAUAGCUUACAAACUACGCCAGCCACGUAAGUCGCAAUCCCUGUGCGACAGGCUCAAUUGAGAAAGUGUUGUUCUAAAUAUACAUACAAGAUUACUCAUAGAGCAAUAAUUUCAAUAACCUAAUGCCUUAUAGACAAUAAUAAAAAGAAAAUAACUUGAAGUUUUAUGUAUUGUAAUGUCUAAUACAUGUCAUAAAUUAUACGUGACCAUAAGUUUGAUGAAACAACUUGUAGUAUCCAACAACUUAUUGAGAUAUACUACAAUGAAAGAAAUACAAAGAAUUUAUUGUUUGCUACUUAAUUAAAUAGAAUCGACGUCUCACACCAGACGAUCAUUUAAAAUUACGAAUUAAUUGACCAAUGGUUACUGAAUUUUAAUUUGUUUUAUAUACAUCACGAAACUUUACAAUACAUGUCGAUGAAGCCAUUCGAUUAAUCAAUCAUGUAUUAUUAAAUAGAAAAUCUGUCUUGACAUGGACAAAUGGUUUCACGACUUGAAUUUUGUAAAGAUUAAAUUUGAGCAGCCAAUUGAAAACCCUAGGCAAUAUAAGAAGAGGGUUUCUGAAAUUUGUGAUUUGUUUGAUUUGUGAGAUUUGGAGAAUUUUAUUUUUGAAGCCAAAAAUCAUGCCUAUAAUACAUCAUAUAGUGGAUUAUCCGGGUGAGCUAGCUGACUGACUGAUUGACAUGUUUUAUAAAGUUGGGAGACGAGUUUGAAAGCAAUUAAAAUUCAGUGGCUGAAGUGAUAUAUGGUACAAAGUACAGUGGCUAUUGCUGAUAUUAACCCCCUAAAAUAUGCAUUUAGGUCCAAUUGACAUACCAAAAUGAAUAUAUGGACCGGACCUUGUUGUCUUGUAAUUAGUGGACCAAUUCAGUUUUGUAUCAAGAAAGAACUCCUUUUCUAAAAUGGUAGCCCAAACGUACCUCUCUCUUAAGUAUUUUGCCCAAUUAUAAAUGAAUUAUUCUAGUUGACAAUCUCGGUUGGCAACAUAUCCACAAAAAAGGGGACCUACGAUUUCUUUAUUCAGCGUAGGCCCCCUUUUGCAUGUGUGGUUGUCAACCUAAUUGUACAUAUAGCAUAACUGAUUAUAAAUACAAUGGUCCAAAAAAGUGGGAGUUAUGAAAAUAAAUAAAAAUAAUUAUUUAUGUCCUAAAGAUUUAUAAUUCAAAACCUUGUAAGUUUUAUACAUUGAAUUAUUUAUUUUCUUGCAUGAAACACAAGAAGGUUUCUUUUAUUAACUAAAAGUUAAGCUAAUUACGGUUUGAAGUUUGAAAUCAUAAUUUAAAUAAAGGUAUUAUUCGUUUUUAACUGCUUAAACUUUUAGAUGAAAAGGUUGAACAUGGCUGACGAGCGGAAGCCUCACCACAUAUAUAAAAAUCAUGCACAAGUCAAGACUUCGUGGUAGCUUAAAUUUUUAUAUAAAAUGAUUCAACACGACUCCGCAUUAAGAAAAAAGAGAAAGAGACUUAACUAUUUGAUAUAUGAUAGAAGCAACUGUUAUGGUCCAAAAUCUUCCGGCGAAUGCAUCUGCGACGAACGCCCCGAUUAGCGGCGUUAAGGCUGCAGUGCCACCAAAAUUGGUGAUAGUAUUGGCUGCUUUAGUGAGUGGCAGGUGUAGUUGAGUUGUUAAGUAGCUGAGCAUGUUUGUACCAAAACCAACCACAGCCAAUUUCUC